UACGUAGGUGGCAAGCGUUGUCCGGAUUUACUGGGCGUAAAGGGCGUGCAGGCGGUUUGUUAAGUGCAGGGUGAAAGCCCCCGGCUCAACUGGGGAGGGUCAUUCGAUACUGUUCGACUCGAAGGCAGGAGAGGGAAGCGGAAUUCCCGGUGUAGUGGUGAAAUGCGUAGAUAUCGGGAGGAACAUCUGUGGCGAAGGCGACACCCUGGACCAGCACUGACACUGAGGCACGAAAGCGUGGGGAGCAAACAGG
rnacentral:rRNA from 1 species